GUUGAACGCUGGCGGCGCGCCUAACACAUGCAAGUCGAGCGAGAACCGGAGCUUCGGCUCCGGGGACAGCGGCGAACGGGUGAGUAACACGUGGAUAACCUGCCCUCGGCACCGGAAUAGCCCGGGGAAACCCGGAUUAAUGCCGGAUGGCCCCACAUCCCUGCGGGGAACGUGGGAAAAGGUAGCUUCGGCCUCUGGCCGAGGAUGGGUCCGCGGUGGGAUUAGCUUGUUGGUGGGGUAAUGGCCCACCAAGGCGACGAUCCAUAGCUGGUCUGAGAGGACGAUCCGCGACACUGGGACGGAGACACGGCCCAGACGCCCACGGGAGGCAGCAGUGGGGAAUGUUGCGCAAUGGGCGAAAGCCUGACGCAGCGACGCCGCGUGCGGGAAGGAGGCCUUAGGGUUGUAAACCGCUUUCAGGAGGGACGAAGCCACUCGGGUGAACAGCCCAGAGGGUGACGGUACCUCCAGAAGAAGCCCCGGCUAACUACGUGCCAGCAGCCGCCGUAACAC
rnacentral:rRNA from 1 species